rnacentral:misc_RNA from 1 species
CCGGGGCAGCAAGUGGAAAUUCUACAUUGUAUAUAAUAUCCCAUCGGAGAUAGUCCAGGCAAUAAGGGAUGAGCAACGUAAAACGAUCAAGACUUGCAGGGAAAUACUUGCUACCUGAGCACACCUGGUCAAUCUUGAUUGCGUGAGGAUAAUGGGUGAGGAGGUACUGAAGCUGAGCAGAGAUGAAAGGAGGAAAUCCGUCAAACGA